rnacentral:lncRNA from 1 species
GUGCUCCGACGGCCGGAGAUCGCGCCCGGCGGACGAACUUCCGGCGAGGAGUAGCGCGACCGUGACGAGGAUCGCGGUUGCGAGUGCCGACGACAUCAGAAGAAACGGGUUGAGCGUUUGCGAAAACACAAGAGAGCGGUAGUGACCGGUAUGAACGCUAUAUAUAUAUAUAUAUAUAUAUAUAUGUAAGUAAGUAAGCAUAACUAUUUAAAUAUUAAAUUACUACUUAAAACAAAUAGUUCAAUUUACAUAUAUUAUUAAUGUACAUUUUUAUAUUAAUCAAACAUGUUUUAUGUAACUUUAAAAUAUUUAUUAUCAGGUUUUAAUAUUUUUUUAGUUUAAUAAUUUAAUUAGAAAAUAAAAUUAUAGACUAGUAUAAAAAUACUCAUCAUUUUAUUAAUAUUAAUAUAUUAUACUUUCAUGAAUCAAAGUAAAGCAUUUUAUAUUAAUGAUUAUAAAAUUAUUAUUUUUCUUUACGGUAAAUAUAUUUGUAGAAUAAUAAUAAUAAUAAAGCAAUGACUGCUGUAAAAAUUAAGCAAGUACAUACAAUUUUUAAGCUAAAUCUUGUUCUUAUAACUACUUAGUAAAUUCCGUUUUCUUUUACUAUUUUAUUUUUUAUCUACUUUUUCUUCAAUCUCUUGCUGUUUUAAUUAUACGCUUCAGAUUAAUUCAUACACUGCAAUUUUUAAAAUCACUCACCAUUAUUUAGUUAUAGUCAUCUCUUUCUUUUAUUUUCAUUUCUUUUAAAAUAGAGAUGUCAGUGUCUCUUUUCCACAAUUAUUUCAUAAUUUUUUAAGAAUCUUAUUUUUUUAAAUUAUAUUUUUUAAAAGAAAAAAUAAAUUGUGUUGUUUGAAACUGAAAGAGUGUGUUGUGUAUUAGUAUUUCUUGUUGGGUUGCUUAGGUUUUAAGCGUUUUCUUACCUGUCACUCUCGCCGCUUUCUCUAUUGUCUUCUCCACGUUACUGUUUUCUACUUUCUUUCAUUUUCAAUUUUCCCUUUAUCAUGUUAAAAUUACACCUUUUUUUCUGUUACUUUAAUUCUUAGUUUAUGAAGUACUAUUAAAGUUCAGUCUCUAAUGCUGUUAGAAUAUUUUACAAGACAUCAUUGUUUCUUCUUUGUGAAUCCUAGAAGUUUCACAAUUAAAUAACAAAAUUGAAAGGGGCUAACAUAUGUUUCUUCAUUCAUGAUUCUAGGUUUGGCUUAUCUUUUUAUAGGAUGAUAAUCCUUAUUCACAUAAUUCAGAAUUUGGCAAAAGAAAAUAUGCUGCUGCCCUCAACAAAGUGGACUCUACCAGAUUGCCACUUGCUUGGUUGUUCAAUUCUGUAUAGAUCAAGAACACAAUGUAUCAUUGCAAUUUACUAAUACAGAAUAGCUACAGCUACUGAAGCUGCUGGAUGAAUAUUAUUAAAAGCACCAAAUGAAAAUGUUUUGUAUUUUUUCAGACAAAUGGAACUACUACUCUGCAAUCUGCACUAGAGAAUCUCAGUAGACUUCAACAUGCCAUUGUUUGUUCUUCUUAAGUUGAGAAAGCUUCUCUUCCCAACUUUCUCCUCUUUGCUCAGCAACCCUCUUCAGUGUGU